AAGGAGAGCUAGACUGGAAGAUUGUUGCCAUUUCUUUGGAUGACCCAAAAGCUCAUCUUGUGAAUGAUUUUGAAGAUGUUGAGAAACAUUUCCCGGGUACACUAACAGCCAUUAGAGACUGGUUUAGAGAUUACAAGAUCCCAGAUGGGAAGCCUGCUAACAGAUUUGGUCUUGGAGACAAGCCAGCAAACAAAGAAUAUGCUUUGAAGAUCAUCCAUGAAACAAAUGAAUCAUGGGCUAAACUUGUGAAGAGAUCAGUUGAUGCUGGAGACCUUUCACUUUUCUGAACAUAUCUUGCAAUGUCCACUUCUGAGUUCAAAUAAUGAACAGACUCAAGAGUCUUUAUAUCA